rnacentral:rRNA from 1 species
UGGGGAAUAUUGGACAAUGGGGGGAACCCUGAUCCAGCCAUGCCGCGUGUGUGAAGAAGGCCUUAUGGUUGUAAAGCACUUUAAGCGAGGAGGAGGGUACUGGUAUUAAUACUACCAGGUACUGGACGUUACUCGCAGAACAAGCACCGGCUAACUCUGUGCCAGCAGCCGCGGUAAUACAGAGGGUGCAAGCGUUAAUCGGAAUUACUGGGCGUAAAGCGCGCGUAGGUGGUUCGUUAAGUUGAAUGUGAAAGCCCCGGGCUCAACCUGGGAACUGCAUCCAAAACUGGCGAGCUAGAGUAGGGCAGAGGGUGGUGGAAUUUCCUGUGUAGCGGUGAAAUGCGUAGAUAUAGGAAGGAACACCAGUGGCGAAGGCGACCACCUGGGCUCAUACUGACACUGAGGUGCGAAAGCGUGGGGAGCAAACAGG